GGGGGUAUAGCUCAGUUGGGAGAGCGCCGCGUUCGCAUCGCGGAGGCCAGGGGUUCGAGUCCCCUUACCUCCA
rnacentral:tRNA from 1 species